CAGCCGCGGGAAUACGAAGGGGGCUAGCGUUGUUCGGAUUUACUGGGCGUAAAGGGCGCGUAGGCGGGCGAUUUAGUCAGGGGUGAAAUCCCAAGGCUCAACCUUGGAACUGCCUUUGAUACUGAUCGUCUUGAGUUCGAGAGAGGUAAGUGGAACUGCGAGUGUAGAGGUGAAAUUCGUAGAUAUUCGCAAGAACACCAGUGGCGAAGGCGGCUUACUGGCUCGAUACUGACGCUGAGGCGCGAAAGCGUGGGGAGCAAACAGGAUUAGAUACCCCCGUAGUCCCUGUCUCUUAUACACA
rnacentral:rRNA from 1 species